rnacentral:ncRNA from 1 species
AUUUUAACAAAGAAAAGAUAAGUAGUGUUGUAGCGUUAAAAAGAGAGUUUACGUUUGGUGAAAGUAGACAUCGCGAACACGUGAAAAUGGUCUUGGAGUUACUGUUAUUGCGAACGCACGCUGAUUCAUUUGUUGAAACGACGCAAGCGAUAACCGGGAGAGCCCGAUAUAGCGACAUCAAUUCUCAAUAUUAUGUACAGAUGUUCUCGAAGCAUAAUAAAGAUGAUUGAUAUUGAGGUGUGUAGGCUAUUUGUCGACACAUAAACACCGGGUGGUAACACGACGAGUCGUCCCGCAG